UAACCAGCUGCAGUACUUUUUGUGUGGUGUGGAAGUGUUUGUUUUUUGCAAUAGAUUUUUGUUGCAGUUUAGGUUUGUAUUUUCUUUGUUUUGUAGUGCUUAUUAUGAAGGUUCGUAGGUUUAUGUCUGUAGGCCAGGCAGGUCAUUAAACUUAACAAAGAAUAAGUAAGUCGGGAGAGGGGAAUAGAAAUCUCCACAUACAUAUUCUUAAAAGCUGUAACACUCACCACAAAGAUCUGCUGAGUGAAGUCUGUGAGACGAACGCACCAAGUCUGGACGCUCUGUCAGGCUACAUUUUACGUUUUUGGGAGUGAGCAGGUGUUAUUCUGUUCCCCGGGUUGGUUUUGAAGUCAUGGCUCUCAAGUAAUUUUUGUGCUUCUCAAAAGUGCUGGAAUUGCAAAGAUCAACAUCAAAAGCUACAAACUGGAAACAGAGGAAGAUACUAGCCCCGUGUUUCUGAUUCAGUAUCACUGAAAUACUUUGGAACCAUAUAAAGGGCAAAGUACAUUCCACAUGUUGAAGGACAGUGCCUGGCCCUGUGGGGUGUCAUCCCCAAGCUGUAGGCAUAGUGGCAACCCAGGGGUUCAUCUCAACUCCCAUCAGAGUUCAAACAUUGAAUUAGUUGUGCAAUGGAAGGAGUAUUACCAGGACCCAGAUGCAGCCCAAGGAAAAAAGAAAACAAAAGGAGACACACACAGACACCAGAGCAUGAUGCAAGUGUGGCUUAAUCGGUGCUUGCACAUUGGGCUUGUUCUUUCCAAACCUGUUGCCCCGAUUCUGCAAGGCUAUCCUGCUGUAGAAGGAGGCCCUGGAGGACAAGACACCAUGUGGGGAAAACAGCCAUGGGGAGCAGAACCGAGGUAUCCCAGCUUAGCUCCCAACUGACAGCAGCCACAUGAGUGAGCAGAAAAACAACUUCCAAGGGUGAUUUAGCUACUGCUGCUGUGGAAUGUCAAAACUUUCAGCAAGGGAGCCCGAUGCAGAUCUGUUGAUAUGACACCAUUCCACAAGAAGACCAACUGAUGGCUUUGUGGCAAGUUGACUACACUGGGCUGUUUCUAUUCUGGGAAGACAGAGAUUUGUUCUAAGAGGAAUAGGCAUGUGUUGCAGGCAUAGGUUGACCUUUCCUGCCAUGGAGCCUCCUCUGGUACCACUAUUUGAAGGUUGAAGGAAUGUUGAUUCACCAGGAUUGAGUCAGACCAGCCAAGCCUAUGACCAUGAUGUCAACUGACUGUAUCACCUGUCACAUCAUCCAGAAGCUACAGACUUAUAAGGCAUUGGAAUAACUUGUAGAUGGCCCCGUUAAAGUACCAGCUUAGAGGCAACACUCCAUGAGAAUGAGACAUCAUCUCCAGGAUGGCACAUACACAUUGAAUCACACAGCAUUGAUAAGGAGAUGGCUCCCCAGUAGGAAGAAUAUAUUGGUCAUGAACCAAGGGAUGAAGCAGAAGUGUCUUGCUUCCUGUCCCUGCAGCCUCUCUUUCUGCAGUGCUAGAAAUCCUGGUCAAAAGGGGGCAUAAUUUUAUCAGGGGACACAGCAAAAGUCUCCACUACAUUGCAGCUAUGCCUGCUGCCUGGGGAUUUUGGGCUUCUUAUAAUUGGGACCAGCAAUAAAAGAGAAGAGUCACAGUCUUGGCAGGGCUAAUUGACCCUGAUCAGCAGGAGAAGAAAGGCUGUGGUUCCACUAUGAGGGUAGGGAAGACGUGUGGCACCACUGAUCCACUUUUGCAACCCAUGGUACUCCCGUGGCCAGUUGUGAUGACAGACAAGUGCAGGAACACUUUUGGGAAGGGCAUGGUGGCCAGAGUUCAGACCCCAUGGGAAUGAGGACCAGGGUCACACCACUGGAUAAGCCAGGAGGAAGAGAGGCCCACUGGAAGGCUGGAGGAGCUGCUCCCCAGAUGUAGAUGAAGUAGAUUUGAGCAGCACAGUGGUGGACCUAGUAGAGGCGGACAUCAAGAUCCUCUUCAAGGAAAGAUUAUCAAUAUAGUUUUCCCUGACCCAGAUUCUUCCCUUGACAUCACACCAGGAAAGUCUGACAACUUAACUUUAUUGGAUAUAGGCAACCGUUGAAUCCAAGUUUUGCCCACUGAAUCCAUCAAAUUGUUACAGCCAAUUCUAGAUGCCUGAGUGGACACAUGAAAUCCAGAUUCCCCAGUAAGCGCAUCCCCAUUAAUAAACUGACCAAAUGCAAUGUUAAUCUGUUCUAUAACCUUUAGAAUCCAUCCCAACAUAUAUUUUUUAGGUUCCUGCCAAGAUAUGUUAGCAAAAGCUUGCAAUUUUUUGAAAAAUGAAUUAUCUCUUCCUGGGACAUGUGUUGUACUUUUCUCUCUGAAAUAGGCUGAGCUCUGACUCCAUUAAAAGUCUGAAAGCAAUGAAGAGUGAAGGAGCGGAUAUUGGGGAGAAUAGGCAUCCUCUUGCAAGAUAACUGCCUCAAAGUCAUUAUAAGGUUUUCAAGCAAGAGAAAGCUAAUUUCCUUACACAUAUGAAGAAGCGUUGCUUCUCCUGGCAAGAAAUACACAGUGAAUCAGGGAUUCAAAAUUCUUAGCUUUAUCUAAGUUUACCCAGAUGUGUCUAUCCUUCCCAAUCAGUGCUCUUGGCAGGAGACUUGGCAAGUCUGCGAAGUCAACUUAUGUUAUAAUUCUGCAACCCACACAAGUUCUUAUUUUCAAUGAGGGUAACCUUGCAGCCACACAAAAUAGCAAAAUUUUUUAAGGAGUACCAUAGACACACUCUGGUUCUCUGUGUUCAGUGUUUUAAGCCUAUCUUUUUGUUCCCCUGUAAGCUCUUCAAUGUAGUCCAAAAUACACCAUCUGUGGUAGGCAGAAUUCUAAGAAGGUUCCAAAGAUUCUCACCCAUGGUGUAGAGAACUUGUAUAAUUUUCUCCCCUAAAGUGUAGGUGGAGCCCGUGAAUAGGAUGGGAUAUUAAUACCAUGAUUGUGUUAUAUUUUGAGACAAAAAAAAUUUUGUAGAUGUAAUUAAAGGUACUAAUCAGUUGACUAUGAGUUUAUCAAAAGGGAGAUCAUCCAGGUGGGCCUGACCUAAUCAUAUCAGCCCUCUAAAUCCUGGUCUAUGGGUCAGAGAAAGAGGAAGGCAGAGAUUUAAAGCAUGAGAGAAAUUCAAAGCAAACUAGAUUCUCCAUUGCUGUCUUUGAAGACAGGCAGCCAUGUGGCAAGGAAUGUGGGUAGCCGAUAGUGGCCGAUGACAGCUCCCAGCCCACACUUCAAGUUUAGCCUCGUAGGGCCCUGAGCAGGGGACACAACUAUACUGCAUUUACAAC
rnacentral:lncRNA from 10 species